rnacentral:lncRNA from 1 species
GUUUACUACUUUAUUGAACUGAAGAGCAGUUAGAUAAUGUUAAAAGAAUCUUCCAAGAUUAAUAAGCAGAAUGUGGGAUGGGGAGUACUAAUUUAAAGUCUUGAAAAUGAAAAAUGUUCCAAGGAAAAGGUGGAUGCUGUUGUCUCUUUCUCUUUCUGCUCUGAUGUAGUGCGUGUGCUAAGCUUAGGUCUGAGCACUGGCGGAUCCCAUGGGUGUGGCUCUGAGGAAAUUGACGCAGUGGACUGCUGCCGGACAUGGAACUGGAAUCCUCGAAAUCACCCCUCUAAAUGAAGCGAUAUUGAAAGAAAUUAUUGUUUGUGGAGAAUUUUAUCUAUAAACAUUCCCAAGAGGCAAAAUUUGUUUUUGUGGAACCACUUGAGUGGAACACAGGUUUGGCGCCCUCAGCAUUUGAAUCGGGUUAUGUUGUCAGUAAAGGGGAUUAGCUUCAAUGAAGACCAGCAAAAGGAAAAGGAUCAGCUUGGCAAAGCCCCCAAGAAGGAAGAAGCAGCUGCCCUCCACAAAGACAUUUCUGGUUCAGGCAAGAGGUCACUGGAGAAGAACCAAAUUAAUUUUUGGAGGAAUCAAAUGACCAAGAGAUGGGAACCAAGCUUAAACUGGAAGACCACUGUUAAUUACAAAGAGUAUGUAGACAUUUGCAUUUGCUUUCAGAUGCAUCUUAGUAACAGUAUUCACCUAAUGUUUCACAUAACUUUAUUUAUUUAUUUU